rnacentral:rRNA from 1 species
GGGUGAGUAUCGCGUGGGUAAUCUACCUCUGAAUUUGGGAUAACUCCGCGAAAGCGGGGCUAAUACCGGAUAAUAUUUCAGGAUCUUCGGGUUUUGAAAUCAAAAGUGGCCUCUACAUGUAAGCUACUGUUUGGAGAUGAGCCCGCGUGCCAUUAGCUUGUUGGUAGGGUAAUGGCCUACCAAGGCUACGAUGGUUAGCUGGUCUGAGAGGAUGAUCAGCCACACUGGAACUGACACACGGUCCAGACUCCUACGGGAGGCAGCAGUGAGGAAUUUUGCGCAAUGGGGGAAACCCUGACGCAGCAACGCCGCGUGAGUGAUGAAGGCUUUCGAGUCGUAAAGCUCUGUCAAGUGGGAAGAACAUGAUAAAUGUUAAUAUCAUUUUUCACUGACGGUACCACUAAAGGAAGCACCGGCUAACUCCGUGCCAGCAGCCGCGGUAAUACGGGGGGUGCAAGCGUUAUUCGGAAUUAUUGGGCGUAAAGGGCGCGUAGGCGGUCUUUUAAGUCAGAUGUGAAAGCCCGGGGCUUAACCCCGGAAGUGCAUUUGAAACUAAAGGACUUGAGUAUGGGAGAGGGAAGUGGAAUUCCUGGUGUAGAGGUGAAAUUCGUAGAUAUCAGGAGGAACACCGGUGGCGAAGGCGACUUCCUGGACCAAUACUGACGCUGAGGCGCGAAGGCGUGGGGAGCAAACAGGAUUAGAUACCCUGGUAGUCCACGCAGUAAACGAUGAACACUAGGUGUAGCGGGUAUUGACCCCUGCUGUGCCGCAGU